rnacentral:rRNA from 1 species
CAUGUAGGCGGCUCUGUAAGCCUGGCGUGAAAGUCACCGGCUCAACCGGUGGAUUGCGCUGGGAACUGUGGGGCUUGAGUCAUGGAGAGGGAGCUAGAAUUCCUGGUGUAGGGGUGAAAUCUGUAGAGAUCAGGAAGAAUACCAGUGGCGAAGGCGAGCUCCUGGCCAAUGACUGACGCUGAGGUGCGAAAGUGUGGGGAUCAAACAGGAUUAGAUACCCUGGUAGUCCACACUGUAAACGAUGUGCACUAGGUGCUGGGGCGGAUGCCUCAGUGCCGGAGCUAACGCGGUAAGUGCACCGCCUGGGGAGUAUGCUCGCAAGGGUGAA